rnacentral:rRNA from 1 species
AUUGAACGCUGGCGGCAGGCCUAACACAUGCAAGUCGAACGAGUGGCGGACGGGUGAGUAAUGUCUGGGAAACUGCCCGAUGGAGGGGGAUAACUACUGGAAACGGUAGCUAAUACCGCAUACAAUCGGAUGUGCACAGAUGGGAUUAGCUAGUGGGUGGGGUAAUGGCGCACCUAGGCGAAGAUCCCUAGCUGGUCUGAGGGGAUGACCAGCCAAACUGGAACUGAGGCACGGUCCAGACUCCUACGGGAGGCAGCAGUGGGGAAUAUUGGACAAUGGGCGUAAGCCUGAUGGAGCCAUGCCGCGUGUAUGAAGAAGGCAUGCGGGUUGUAAAGUACUUUCAUCGGGGAGGCGGUACCCGCAGAAGAAGCAACGGCUAACUACGUGCCAGCAGCCGCGGUAAUUC